rnacentral:rRNA from 1 species
CUUGACACUGAACAUUGAGCCUUGAUGUGUAGGAUAGGUGGGAGGCUUUGAAGUGUGGACGCCAGUCUGCAUGGAGCCGACCUUGAAAUACCACCCUUUAAUGUUUGAUGUUCUAACGUGGACCCGUGAUCCGGGUUGCGGACAGUGUCUGGUGGGUAGUUUGACUGGGGCGGUCUCCUCCUAAAGAGUAACGGAGGAGCACGAAGGUUUUUUUUUUUUUUUUUUUUUUUUUUUCAGAGUCAAGCGUUUCAGGCUGUUUCUUGCGAUUCAUCAUCGUGUUGCGAAAAUUUGAGAGACUCACGAACAACUUUCAACUUUCGUUGUUCUGUGUUUCAAUUUUCAGCUUGAUCCAGAUUUUUAAAGAGCAAAAGACCAAGGGUUCCUGUCCAACGUUAAUCGGGGCAGGGUGAGUCGACCCCUAAGGCAGCCCCAUAGUGCUUUUACGUAUACGCCAAAUUUAUCGGGAGUAAAUUUGGUGGAGACGAAGGUUGGCUAAUCCUGGUCGGACAUCAGGAGGUUAGUGCAAUGGCAUAAGCGUCUUAAC